AGUGGCGCACGGGUGCGUAACACGUAGGUGACCUACCUUUAAGUCGGGGACAACAUUGGGAAACCGAUGCUAAUACCGGAUGUGGAAAUUCAUUUUGAAUACGAAUUUCUAAAGAGGGCUUUUGCUCUUGCUUGAAGAAGGGCCUGCGGGACAUUAGCUUGAUGGUGGGGUAAUGGCCUACCAUGGCCGCGAUGUCUAGGGGGUCUGAGAGGAUGAUCCCCCACACUGGAACUGAGACACGGUCCAGGCUCCUACGGGAGGCAGCAGUAGGGAAUAUUGCGCAAUGGGCGAAAGCCUGACGCAGCAAUGCCGCGUGAGUGAGGAAUGCCUUAGGGUUGUAAAGCUCUGUCAUAUGGGAAGAACAAGAAUAGUGUUAAUACCACUAUUCCCUGACGGUACCAUAGAAGGAAGCACCGGCUAACUUCGUGCCAGCAGCCGCGGUAAUACGAAGGGUGCAAGCGUUGUUCGGAUUUAUUGGGCGUAAAGCGCGCGCAGGCGGAUGUGCAAGUCAGAUGUGAAAUCUCGGGGCCCAACCCCGAAACUGCGUCUGAAACUGCGUAUCUAGAAUCAUAUAGGGGGCAGGGGAAUUUCACAUGUAGGGGUAAAAUCCGUAGAGAUGUGAAGGAACACCGGAGGCGAAGGCGCCUGCCUGGAUAUGUAUUGACGCUGAGGCGCGAAAGCGUGGGUAGCAAACAGGAUUAGAUACCCUGGUAGUCCACGCCGUAAACGAUGAGCACUAGUUAUUGGAGGUAUUGACCCCUUCAGUGACGCAGCUAACGCAUUAAGUGCUCCGCCUGGGGAGUACGGUCGCAAGACUAAAACUCAAAGGAAUUGACGGGGGCCCGCACAAGCGGUGGAUUAUGUGGUUUAAUUCGAAGCAACGCGCAAAACCUUACCUAGACUUGAAAUCCUGUGAAUUUGGGGUAAUGCCCGAAGUGUCCGCAAGGAAACGCAGUGACAGGUGCUGCAUGGCUGUCGUCAGCUCGUGUUGUGAAAUGUUGGGUUAAGUCUCGCAACGAGCGCAACCCCUAUCCUUAGUUGCCAGCAUUUAGUUGGGCACUCUAGGGAGACUGCCUGGGCAACCAGGAGGAAGGUGGGGAUGACGUCAAGUCCUCAUGGCCCUUAUGUCUAGGGCUACACACGUAAUACAAUGGUGCAUACAAAGGGAAGCGACCCAGCGAUGGUGAGCAAAUCUCAAAAAGUGCAUCUCAGUCCGGAUUGAAGUCUGCAACUCGACUUCAUGAAGUUGGAAUCGCUAGUAAUCGUAGGUCAGCAUGCUACGGUGAAUCCGUUCCCGGGCCUUGUACACACCGCCCGUCACACCAUGGGAGUUGGUUCAAUCUUAAGACGUGACUCUAACCUUCGGGAAGGGAGCGUCUACGGUGGAACCGAUGACUGGGGUGAAGUCGUAACAAGGUAGCC
rnacentral:rRNA from 1 species